GUUCUUGGAAGAGGAGGUGUGUUCCUUAUACAUAGUGUUCUUGGAAGAGGAGGUGUGGUCCUUGUACAAUGUGUUGUUGGAAGGGGUGGUGUGGGCCUUGUACAGUGUGUUGUUGGAAGAGGAGAUGUGCUCCUUAUACAUAGUGUUGUUGGAAGAGGAGAUGUGCUCCUUAUACAUAGUGUUGUUGGAAGAGGAGGUGUGGUCCUUAUACAUAGUGAUGUUGGAAGAGGAGGUAUGGUCCUUAUACAU